AAUCCACGAAGACUAGAUCGACUGGACUCCCUGUAUAUUCUAGCAAAGCCAAAGAAGCGAGAGCCGAUGCGAUGGCCUGUGAAGCUGUAUGGAGCAUAAAGGUGGCCCAGCUAGCUAGAGAGAGAUGGAAAAAAGAUGAAGAACAACGGACAGCGAUUUCUACGAAGGCACUUGAAGACAGAGCAGACAUGAAAUCAGCAGCAAUGGACAAUGAUGAUGAUGUGAAAGAGCACGACAAGAUCUGGGGCCUGUUUCAUAAAAGACUUUCAACUGUUGCAACUUUGCCAUUAUUGUAACUACCAUGGUAACAUGGCUCAAAAGCCAAUCAACAUCGAGGUCUCAGUUACAAUAAUGGCAUGGUUACCAUAAUUGUAAUUCUUUAUGAAACGGGACCCAUGGAGGAACGCCAUCAUGACAGUCAGAGGGAGAGGAUCUUUUCCAGUACAGCUCCUGAUAAACGAUCUUGCUUGGAGAAACAGAGAGAACAGGAUGUGAGUGAGAAGAUUGCUCUUCAUCUUCCUAAUGCUGAAGGAGGCAGAUCAGAUAUUACAGUUUGAUCAGAGGUUAUUCAAUCUGUCAAAGCCAUUAUAACAAGGGAGAGAGAACCUGAGAAGAGUAUGGACGGAUUCACUUUCCGGUUUGUCUUGUCGAAACUAAAGGACCUAUCGACUUUUAAGCGGAGGCUAAGGAGACAGUGAAGGCACUGGUUUAAUUCGUGCAACACAGUGUUUGCAGCAUGGAUACGCCCCUUAUCUGGUGUUAAACAUCUUCCAAGUAUAAAAGAGAGAGAUAGUCUACCAGAAACAAGGACGUGACACAAAUCUUGAAAUCUUCAUCUACAUGGAAUAUCUGGUUUGAGAAAAUUUGGUGUUUUCGGGAAGUAUGACACAAAACAGACAAUGGAUUUGACACCAUACUCUUUGUAGACACCCUUCACCUUGUGUAUUAUAAUCUUAGUAUCAAAUAUGUGACUCGCAUAUACAUGUAUAUGCAUUCACUACUCAUAAACCCAUUUUUGUUAUGUAUUUUAUGAUGAUUUUUUAUGUAGUGCCAAGGAGCAGGUCCAAGCUGUUAUUUCCAGGGGUUUGAGAGUUAAGCUUUUUAGCUGAUAUUUAGCUUGUUUUCUUUUUGGUUUUGAUUAUCAGCUAAAUGUGAGCUCAUUUUACUUUUUUUCUGUACAAAAAUGUGGUAGCUCUUUCAAAUUCAGCUUAUUUUCAUUACUUUUCAGAUCUUUUUAUUUGUCAUCACUCAGACCCCUGUAUUUCUUUGCUGAUAAUAUACAUGUAUUUUAUAUUCGUUUCAUUUAAAUGCGUGCUUUGUAAUAUGAUAUUUAAUAUAUAAAGAAUAGUUUCUUGGAAUAAUUUUGCUUAACCCUAAUAAGACUGGCCAGGGUAUUUUUGAGAUUUCGUCCGGUGAUGGCUCAAUCACAAAAAAAAUUGCAUCACCCCAUGAUGUAAUCUACAAUUUUAUUUUUCAAAAUUAUUCUAAUUUACUUUUAAUUCAUUUUGCUUAUUUAUGCAUGAAAGUAUAAUUUGGUCAAGGGAGGCCUUUAAUGUCCCCACCCCCAGUCUUUUUAGGGUCAAAGUUGGAAAUAUUUGCAAGUAUUGUGAGGCUUAUGCUUCAUUAGAAAUAAGAUGGUGUUGUAAUUUUUGGAUUUAACUUUGGGCCACCGCACACCUUACGAUUGGUACAAAUAUGUGACCAUUCUACCAUCCCUAUUAUAAUAAAAGCGAAUUGAAUAGUGAUGACGUCAUAGUAACCGUACGAUUGUCUACAAUUUGAAACCAAUUUUGCCUUUACUCCAAAAUUACGGCUUGCAAUCAUCCACAAUUGCUUUAUUAGUAUUCUUACAGUUAAAUUGACCCUCAAAUAAAAUAAUCAAAAUGCCAUUUUUCCAAAUUUGGUUUGUGGACCAGUCAUAAGAUGUGCGGAGGCCUUACAACUUUAUCACAAUGAAAUUUGUAUUUUUUUGUGCUGACUAUUCUGCAAAAGUGGAACCAAAGGUUUUCCAGAGUUUUUCCCAAUUGUGUUUUAUCUCUGGUUUUUUACCCUCGAUCUACUUGUCGUAGAAUUUUCAGCACAAAAUCCCCCCCCCCCUCCCCCCGAAAUUUGUGUAUAAUACCUACAUGUAUAUAAUGUUUAUUUUUCCUUGAAAAUUACUAUCAUUAACAGAUUCUGUCCAGUUUUUGGUCAAUUAUUACAUCAAGAACGUUUAUAAUAUGAACAUUUUCAAUUUCAGUAUUAUCUAUUUCAAUUGCUAAAUUAGAGAAAUGGAGUAUCACAGAAUACCAUGUAUUCAGUGUUUGUUUUGGCCGCUCAGCAGCAAACAAAGUUCAUUUUAAUCCAAUUAAAUUAAAAACAACAAAUAACCAAGUAUAUUUCCGUACUGGACAUGUUAAGGGCAGAAAUAUGAGGAUUUAACAUUGAUUUGAAAAAAAAGGUAAACUGUUUGCGUUCAAAGAGCUAAUUAACCAGUCAAAUGCAACACCCCUGUCACCAUAGCUCCUGAGCUUGAAAAGUAGUAUCACAUUUUUAGGGGAAUCAAAAGCUUUGCUUUGGUCAACGAAUCAAUUUUUUUUUCUCAAAUUUUCACAGUCCCAGUUAUUCAUGGUGCCAAUCGUGUGAGGGUUUCUUUUAUUAUAAAAAAAACCCUACUGUAUAUAGUGUUCAAAUAAAAUGAUUUUAGGUUUAUAUGUGAUCUUAAAUUCAUGAAAAGUUUAUAUGACAGUAACAUAAAUAUUCUGGGGAGUGUUUCACAAAUGGAUUAAAACUAACCAUAAACAAAGUCAUGCUUCAGUUUUCAUACGUGUGCACAUGAUAGUUGAUGGUUAGAUUAAUUGAUUAAUACGCCGUAGAGCGCAUCUGAUCCAACCAAUAUAGGGAUCUGUUUUUGUUUUUUUUUCACAUGAAAAUGGAAAUUUAAGAGCAAUUUUUAGUCACACUUAGUCUUUGUGAAACACCCUUCAGAUUUCUCUUAUAUAUAAGAUGUACUUGUAUGUCAGAUAGCUUGGACCUGCUCUAUUGUGUACGAUUGUCUGUACUGUAGUCUGUAUACUUGCUUUGAUUCAUGAUUUUAUUUUUCUUUCUUGAAAAAAAAUGUAAGACCAGCAGUCCAGAAGAUUCAUUCAAGUUGGAGGACCAUAGCAGUUGACCUCUUUGAUGGGGUAGGCCCUUGACCCUCACAAACAUGGCUUCCAGUCUGGUUUGAGCCGGGAUCGUCCUGCCAGAAUCACACAAUUAGUGACGUCACUACCGAGAGAUCUAUUUUUCAGUGUGCAGAGAAGGGCACUGGACACUGCUGUGCAUAGUAUACAACGCUGAUAAUGUAAGUGCUUUAUUCUUGAUUUUAAUGAUAUUCUGCGUAGCCAAGAGUAUGCGAGACAAUGCAAUCAGUUAUUGGGCAAUUAUUACUCUGAAUUAUUGUGGAAAUAUUGGGGAGCAGUGUCACCCAGACUGAUUUUUAUCCAUAUUGUACCUUAAUUGCAAUUUUUAAUUCUUUACACUUUCAACAAUCUUAAGAAUAAAAUUCUUUAAAAAAAAUCCAUUAAAACAAUCCCAAUCCCAAGGCAAGUUUGAUAAAUUUUUAGGGACCUAUACAAAAUCCUCAUUCUGCAUACAAAAUCCUCACUCUUCAAAAUUAUUAUUUUUUAACAACUGUAGCCCCUGCUUUUUACCAUUACUGUUAAUUCCUCAUUCCUGUUUUCCUCUGUGGGCUAUGUGUGUCAAUCUGUUUUAUCUUUAUUGUAGUCUCUCUAUUCUCCCUUGUUUCUGGCCGUUCCCUUUCUUAUUCCUCAAUCCUCUCUCAUUCUCAUUACUCCACCCUCCUCCCCUCACUUUUCCCUCUUCUCUCACCUCGACAAUAUUUUAAUUAUCUGUUGAUCCAUUCAUUGCAGUAUCUUCUGUACUUCCCUGUACUAUCUGCUCUAGCUGUUGCUCUAAAUCAUCUUUGUUUCACACCGUUGCAACAUGCUAUUAUCCAUGACUGAUAUAAGAAAUGUGCUAAGAA